ACGAACGCUGGCGGCGUGCCUAACACAUGCAAGUCGAACGAGAAAGCCCUUUGGGGUGAGUAGAGUGGCGCACGGGUGAGUAACACAUAGGAACGUGCCUUUAGGUGGGGGAUAACCACGGGAAACUGUGGCUAAUACCGCAUGAGCUCGAGAGAGGAAAGGUGGCCUCUGAAUGUAAGCUGCCGUCUAGAGAGCGGCCUAUGUCCCAUUAGCUAGUUGGCAGGGUAAGAGCCUACCAAGGCGAUGAUGGGUAGCUGGUCUGAGAGGAUGAUCAGCCACACUGGGACUGAGACACGGCCCAGACUCCUACGGGAGGCAGCAGUGGGGAGUUUUGCACAAUGGGCGAAAGCCUGAUGCAGCAACGCCGCGUGAGUGAAGAAGGCCUUCGGGUUGUAAAGCUCUUUCGGCUGGGAAGAGGGGUUUUUUGGUUAAUAGCCAAAGAGCUUGACGGUACCAGAGUAAGAAGCACCGGCUAAUUCCGU
rnacentral:rRNA from 1 species